rnacentral:lncRNA from 1 species
UAAAACUUUUGUUAUGGCAUGUCAUUAAAAUGGAAAAGAAAAGCCAAAAGAAGUAUUUGAAUUUGCCCAUCAAUCUGACAGUGAAUCAACAAAAGGUGGAGUUGCUUAAAUGUUGCUCUUCUCAUUGUCCUUUUCCUUUGGUCACUUAGGAAAAGAAGUCCGUCAGUGUCUGGAGAUCAGAACAGAAGAUACGACCAAAGGGAGGAAAGGGAGGAAUAUUCACAGUAUGCUUCUUCUGAUAGCGCAAUGCCUAGAUCUCCAUCAGGUUAUGCUGAUAGACGAUCUCAACGUGAACCUCAGUUUUAUGAAGAAUCUGAUCAUUUAAGUUAUAGGGACUCCAACAGGAGAAGUCGUAGGCAUUCCAAAGAAUAUAUUGUAGAUGAUGAGGAUGUGGAGAGCAGAGAUGAAUAUGACAGACAAAGGAGAGAGGAGGAGGAGUACCAGGCACGCUACCGAAGUGAUCCAAAUUUGGCCCGUUAUCCAGUGAAGCCCCAACCCUAUGAAGAACAAAUGCGUAUCCAUGCUGAGGUGUCCCGCGCCAGGCAUGAGAGAAGGCAUAGUGAUGUCUCUUUGGCAAAUGCUGAACUGGAAGAUUCCAGGGUUUCUCUGCUAAGAAUGGACCGACCAUCAAGGCAAAGAUCUAUAUCUGAACGCAGAGCUGCAAUGGAAAAUCAGAGAUCGUAUUCAAUGGAAAGAACUCAAGAGGCUCAGGGACAAAGUUCUUAUCCACAAAGGACCACAAACCAUAGUCCUCCUACCCCGCGGAGGAGUCCCAUACCCGUCGAUAGACCAGACCUGAGGCGUACUGACUCAUUAAGGAAACAGCACCACUUAGAUCCCAAUUCUGCUGUGAGGAAAACAAAAAGGGAAAAAAUGGAAACAAUGUUGAGGAAUGAUUCCCUCAGUUCAGACCAGUCAGAGUCAGUGAGACCACCACCGCCAAAGCCUCAUAAAUCAAAGAAAGGAGGUAAAAUGCGACAAGUUUCAUUGAGCAGUUCAGAGGAGGAAAUGGCUUCCACACCUGAGUAUACGAGUUGUGAUGAUGUUGAGAUCGAAAGUGAGAGUGUAAGUGAAAAAGGAGACAUGGAUCACAACUGGUUGGACCAUACGUCUUGGCAUAGCAGUGAGGCAUCCCCAAUGUCUUUGGUGAGACAUGUGGAGCCUUACUAUUUAAUUUCUGUUAUCAUUUUACUUUUCCUUUUUAUUUACACCUUUGCAUGUUUUCUUUUUUGUAUCUUUUUUUUUUUUAUCCCACACCUUUAGGGGACAGUCAAAAGGGAAAAAGAAAAAUUAGUGAGCAGGCAGUUUUGUCGGACUCUAACACCAGGUCUGAGAGACAAAAGAAAAUGAUGUACUUUGGUGGCCACUCUUUGGAAGAGGAUUUGGAAUGGUCUGAGCCUCAGAUUAAGGAUUCUGGGGUAGAUACCUGUAGUAGCACGACCCUUAACGAGGACCAUAGCCAUAGUGCUGAGGUACUGAGAGAGAUUGUGGGGCCUGCCUUUUACCUGCUCAUUUGGUCUUUGUUUGCUCUCUGUCACCCAUUAAAACAGAACAUAAUAAAAGGACAGGGCAUUUCAAGGGUCAAUGUAGCAUUUCUUAAGGUGCAGAAAAGAAA